UGCAGUCNNNNAGAAGCCCUUCGGGGUGGACAGUGGCGCACGGGUGCGUAACACGUGGGUAAUCAACCCUCUAGUCUGGGACAACCAAGGGAAACUUUGGCUAAUACCGGAUGUUGUCAUCGGGACCCCGGUCCUGAUGACCAAAGACCCGCAAGGGUUGCUAGAGGACGAGUCCGCGGCCCAUCAGUUAGUUGGUGAGGUAAUGGCUCACCAAGGCUAAGACGGGUAGCUGGUCUGAGAGGAUGAUCAGCCACACUGGAACUGAGACACGGUCCAGACUCCUACGGGAGGCAGCAGUGGGGAAUAUUGCGCAAUGGGCGAAAGCCUGACGCAGCCACGCCGCGUGAGUGAUGAAGGAUUUCGGUUCGUAAAGCUCUGUGGAGAGAGAAGAAUAAAGCCUGUGAAGAGCAGGCCCUGACGGUAUCUCUUUAGCAAGCACCGGCUAACUCCGUGCCAGCAGCCGCGGUAAUACGGAGGGUGUAAACGUUGCUCGGAAUCAUUGGGCGUAAAGCGCACGUAGGCGGUCUGGUAAGUUGGAUGUGAAAGCCCGGGGCUCAACCCCGGAAGUGCACCCAAAACUGCCAGACUAGAAUCUCGGAGGGGGUCGGAGAAUUCCCGGUGUAGAGGUGAAAUUCGUAGAUAUCGGGAGGAAUACCAGUGGCGAAGGCGCCGACCUGGACGAUGAUUGACGCUGAGGUGCGAAAGCAUGGGGAGCGAACAGGAUUAGAUACCCUGGUAGUCCAUGCCGUAAACGAUGAGUGCUAGUCGGUGGGAGAUUUGACCCUCUCGUCGCCGUAGCUAACGCGUUAAGCACUCCGCCUGGGGAGUACGGUCGCAAGACUAAAACUCAAAGGAAUUGA
rnacentral:rRNA from 1 species